CGAACAUUUUCCCAGCUUGUAGCGGCAUUCAGCUGUCGCAUUUUCGAAAUUCCCGCCCUCUCUAUGGCAAACGGUACCUGUCGAAAAACACGGUGCAAUUUUUCACAGCGCGUCCGCAUUUUUCCUCCGUGGAUGCGGGUUUCGUCUUUCCGAACGCAUCCAAGCCGCCUAGAUCCAUUCAUCACGGCAUCUUAAUUGGAGAAGCCGAAACGCCACCUGGAUUUGUUCUCGAAAUUAACGAGUCUCGUUUCGCGAUCAGAGAUCGCCUCGCAAUGGCCACAGAUAUCUGGUUUCGAGUUGCCGCCCGUACGUAUUAAUAUCUCCCAUUCGAAUAAAACAGAUUUAUUUGAUGAUCGACUAAUAAAGGCUAAUUCUUUAAUCGGUCACUGUUACUGGAGGAAUUAAUUUGUCAGAUCUGAAACGGUCCCUGACACUUCAUCAGAUAUCUGUGGGAUCAUUCUAUCCGAGGAAUUCAAGAAUGAUUUAUCUAAUCUAUUCGACAUGUUUCCAUCCGUCGGAAUACGAUUUAUAUACCGUGGACGAGCCAUCAUUUGGAUCACGGAAAACGUCCGAUUCUGUGAUUGCCAAUAUGGCCGAUUUAACAUAAUGGGAACUGUCACGAAUAUUACGAACAAUUCAUUUUUGCAGGUCCAGUUGCUUUAUGGAAAUGGAAAUUGACUCAUUUUCACUCGUUGGAGGUAAUAAUUACUGGAUAGAUAAUGGAAAAUGGUUUAAGGCAUUUUUAACGUCGAGCUUAUUAAUGGCCUCCACCUGCUCGGGAAUUGGCCAGUAUGUGAGAAUCUGUGACUAGUUCCCAUCUACUAACAAGAGCAAGCACAAUUUGCCAGUCGAGAUUUAUGGAUCUGUGUACGACGAAUGACGAUACAAGCAUACACAGAGAUGUAUCGAAGGCUUCUCUCUGCCCGUCCCUGUGGCGCAGAGGAUAGCGCGUUGGACUUCUAAUCCAAAGGUCGUGGGUUCGAUCCCCGCCAGGGAUGCAACAAUUUUUUGACGAGAAAAUGGAUUGCGGGUAGUGGGGGCAGAGGUAUGUUCUGCUAUCACUGCCCGCCUUCACUUCAUCCUGGUGCCCCUCAGCCAAGGUUGCCCACGUUGGAGUACCCUUUCACACCUAGUCAUCCGUAUACAAGCUAUUCUUAUCAUCCAGCAAUACACGACGACACGUUCGUGAGGAGGAAACAGAGGAGGAACAGAACAACGUUCACCCUCCAACAGUUGGAGGAGCUAGAAACCGCUUUCGCCCAAACCCAUUAUCCGGACGUUUUCACGAGGGAAGACCUGGCGAUGAAGAUCAACCUCACCGAAGCUCGCGUACAGGUCUGGUUCCAGAACAGGCGGGCUAAAUGGAGGAAAGCAGAAAGAUUGAAGGAGGAACAAAGAAAAAGGGAAGGACAAGAAAUGAUCAAAAGGGACGGAGAGACGAAAGAAGAGAAGCUGGAGGAAAUCAACGCCACCAGUUCGCCCGAACCGACCACCACCGGCGAAGACGAAAUUCCUACCAGGGAGUGUUCGAGCAGAAGCAGCGCCGGCAGGGAGACCCCGGAUCAGGGAAAGGGUUCCACGGAAGCUGGAGACCCUUCGAACCCUUCGUCUCCUCACAGUCCGGCGCCUUCGGCGUCUUCCGAACCACCAAGACACCUCCCGCCGCCGUUUCCGCAUCUCUUCCCCUUCGGAGAUAGCAGCGCCACCUUCAGGCCGAUGAUGGAUCCCUCCAACUCGACGGCGAGAUCUUCGUCUGCGUUAUUCUUCCCGCCCCAUCUGGCCUCUCACUUCUCUCCGCCGCUGUUUCCGACACUGAAAGGUUUUCCCGGGCUCUGUUCUUGCUGUCCCAUCAAGCCGCUCUCCAACCUGGGGCCGCAGCUCCUGCCAUCUGGCGAGUCCUCCCAACUCUCGCCUCAGAACGACCAACGUUCGAGCAGCGUGGCCGAUCUGCGCAGGAAGGCGCAGGAACACUCCGCCGCCAUUUUGCAGAGCCUCCAGCACGUGGCCAACUUCCAGCAGGCCGCGAGCCUGGCGGGAGGCCUGAACUUCCCGCUCCUGCCGCCCCUGUCGCUGCAGGCGGCCUUUCACAGGAAGCAGGAAUCUGCGAACGAGACGCAGAGCAAGGAACAACAGAGCGGGUCAUAGAAACUUGUAGUGUUUGCGAUCGUUAGAUGUAAGGUUAUGACGAGAAGCAAUUUGUUCGAGUGAUAACGAAUGUUCUUUUUUCUAGAUAAUUAUUAAUCGUAGCACUUAAGGUACAAAGAAAUAAGUUCGUUACUCGUCUCGAUUAGUCAGGAGAGAUGACGAUUUUAUCCGGAUUUGUACAUACUGGUUUUGUCGUCGAAGUCGAGAUCAUGAGAAUUGUCAACAGGUGAAGAUCGUUAGUAUAACGUAAUGUUUGUUUGGAUUCUUUUGAAUUGAUGUAAUGAAAACGGGAAUUAUUGCAGAUGGUACGUUUCGAUAUCGAGAAAAAUGAAGAAUAUAUUGAGAAUUUGAAUAGAAUGAAGAUCGAAAAUAGAAAUGAACAAGUGAAAGGUAGGUGUCAGUCAAUUUUAACGGUGAUGGGAUUGGGAUUACUUGAAAACUUGGUAUUCAAUUUGGAAAAAGGUAUAAAUCGGUUCGGGUAGGAUGUGUUUUUGAUCGUUUUUCAUAUAAACAAUUCUGUUGAAUGCUUUCCUCAUUAAAAUAACUGAGAUGGUAGGAUGAAUAUGAAUUCAAUACUUAGUCUAUAAAUUUCUGAAUUAGUAGUAGAGUUCAAGUGAAAAUUUUGCCUUGUAACAGUGAUCUUUAACAGUUUUUUUUCGCUGUCUAAUGGACGAGUUCCAGAAACGUUUUUCAACCAUGUAAAUAUUAGGAAAACCUCUUAAAACGGAAAUGUAUGUUUUUUACAUUUCAUUUGUGUCUAUCGGUUGACUUGGUAAUUCAACAAUCAAUUAAUUUGUGCCGGAUAUCGAGUCCAAGUGAUGAUAGAGAAUUAAUAUCGCGUUUUCAGGGAAGUUUUGACACUUUUUGGGAAUUUUUUCUUGAUAAUUUCAUAGUGUCGUCAUAGAACACCCAACUUCUGAAGUGUUCUGUGGUAGUUUUAUAUCAACUCUGUGUCAAGUUCCAAUAACAUAGACAUAGUGUCUAUGUCUAUGAUUUUUAAUAACUCUCUUUGACACUUGAGUUAUUCUGUGACGAAGCCAUCAAUGUUAUGCACAAAACACAGAAAAAAUUCCAAAUUAUGUCAACGAAUCUACUCUGAAAUGCACAUUAUGAAUUUUCUAUCAUAUCAAUCAGAUUUCUCAGCCAGCACGUUUCCAAAGAUUGUUAAAUUAUUAAGAGAGCCGAAAGGCACAAUGGAACAAAUCGAACUUGAAAAAUAAACUUUCAUGAACGAAUGGUGUACAUAUAUGGUAAGGUCGAUUUAAGAAUUGGUAAAAUGUCGCGAACGAGAUGAAGAAGAAAGAGAUAGUUUGAGCACUUCGAAGAUGUUUAAGAUACCAAAUAUAGAGAACAUGUGGAAAAAGGAGUAGAAGCGAAACCCUGCUGCAGCCUCCUGAAAAAUAAAACUGCUUUUUAGUGGAAUUGUUAUUUACCCCAUUAAUAGAGCAUGUGAAGGAAGUUUCCCCUCAUCCUCGUUCUUAUCUAGACCGAGGAUGGGAGAGACGACGUUCAGAUCUGGAUCCGAACCGGGGAGAGGUGAGACCCACGUCUGCCCAGUUCAGAUCUGGAUCCGGGCCGGGGAGAGGUGAGAACCACGUGUGAGACCCACGUCUGCCCUGUUCAGAUCUGG